CAAUGAGCUGCAGUCUGAGCUGUUGGGGUUAGGACCUCGAUGCAUGAAUUUUAGGACGCAAUUCAGUCCACAAGAGCCACCAGGAGCCCUCGGCCUGGCCCGUGGACUGAGUAAAGGGGCUGGGGGUCCCUUAGGGCUGAUGCCACCUGUAGGGUGAGCUCCUGGCCACCCCCUCCUCCUGCCAUCCCUCUUGACGUGCGGCAGUGUGGGACCAGCCCCCGCCUGCUGCUGGUGCAAGAUUGCCAAAGAAAUUUCAUAUCCACAUUCUUGGGGCCUCUCAGAGCAGCAGCCAUGGGAGGGGAGCAGGGCAGGCCUUGCUGCCGUAAGUCCUACUGGGCUGGGAGAACAGGUACGGCUUACCCAAGGGAGGGGCUAGAACUCACACCUCGCCUUCUGCCCUAUCCUCACUCCCUGCUCCCUGUACCCGGGCUGGACAGGGGCUGGGCUCUGGGAGAGGAGUGAAUCACACAGGGAGCUGGCAGGAUAAGACCUGUACGUGUGGCUGCCCAGUGCCAGGCACAGGCAGCUGCCAGACACAGGCAGCAAGGUCGCGGGCCUGCCCUUCUGCCGUCUGCAGGGAAAACUCCUGCAGGAGGAGCCCAGGAAAAGCAGGGCUGGGGAGGGAGUGGCGGGGGGGGGGCACAGGUGGCUUGGGCCAGGGGAGCCGGCCCUGUUGCUUCUGAGCCCUGUGCCUCUAGGCGACUUUUUCUCUGAAUGGCAGCUUCUGAAUGAUGACUGUGGGACAGGUGUGCUCAGGGAAGAAACACGGACCGCUGACUGCACGCCCACCUGAUUUCAGGAUGGAGGCCUCAGGGAGAAGCAGGUGACCAUGACGGCUGCAUAAGGACUGGCCCACCGGAAAACCAGGCCCACCCAAGGCCGGUGGCCUCCGGACAGCAUUUCUGCACCACCAGGGGACGCAGCCCGUCACAACGACCCGCCCUGGGGGUUCCUGAACCCCACGCCCCCAGCUACUGCAGCCAGGACCCUAAGAUCGGCUGCAAAAGGAAGCUGCCCCCUCCUGGUUGGCUCCGAUGCGUUGGGCGCGCGCGCGGGGUCCGCGUGGCCCGACCUCAGCCCAGCCCCCUCUUUGAUCGAUGGGACUGUCCCUCCUCCCGCCCCUUUCUCUGCCCCCUCCCCUCCCUCCCCCACCCCGGCCCCUCCUCGCCCCCCUCCUCGUCCCACAGCCCCGCCCCCCCCCGCCGCCGGGCCCUUCCUCGGCCCGGCCCAGCCCCCUCUCGGACCCCGAG
rnacentral:lncRNA from 1 species